AGGCAUCAAUCCUUUUACAUGUGUGUUGAGUUCCAUCACAAAUUUGCUCCGAGUUUAUACUACCUUGGGCAAAUAUUUCUUCUUAAGAAAUUGAACUAAUGUGUGACAUGAACAAUAAUGAGGGUGAUGUUCAAUCUUAUUUAAAGCAAACUAGCAGAGUGUUGCGAGGGAAUCGCCUUCAGUAAUGCUACACGUACAAACGAUUUACGGGAUUUUACAAAGAGGUUUAGCUUGAUUGGUCAAUAGGUAAGAGAGGUGGCCCACCCCCUGAAAAUCAGAGGGGUAAAGUUUGUGAUUGGUUAGGAGAUAGAAAGAGCCUGUAAAAUCAUGUAUUUGUUUGUAGGUCUAGCAUUUUUGAAUCGCCUUAGUGUGUCUGAAGUGUAUGAGAAGUAAAUAUUUAUGCAAUAU
rnacentral:lncRNA from 1 species